GACGAACGCUGGCGGCGUGCUUAACACAUGCAAGUCGAACGGACAGGCCCCUUUCGGGGUACUCGGGUGGCGAACGGGUGCGUAACACGAGAGUAACCUUCACUUGACUUCGGGAUAAGUUCAGGAAACUGGGGCUAAUACCGGAUAGGAAUCCUUGCUUCAUGGGGAGGGUUGGAAAGCUUCGGAGGGUUUUGCUGGACUCGCGGCAUAUCAGCUUGUUGCUGGGGUAGUGGGUUACCAAGGCGUCGACGGGUAGCCGGCCUGCGAGGGCGACCGGCCACAUUGGGACUGAGGUACGGCCCAGACUCCUACGGGAGGCAGAAGGGGGGAAGAUUGAACAAGGGGCGGAAGCCGGAUGCAGCAGGGCCGCGGGCGGGAUGACGGCCUUCUGGUUGUAAACCGCUUUCAGCAGGGGCGAAGCUUGUGGUGACGGUACCUGCAGAAGAAGCACCGGCUAACUACGUG
rnacentral:rRNA from 1 species